rnacentral:rRNA from 1 species
AUGCCAAGGCGUUUAGCGGAUGCCACCGGCGGUGGCCGUGCAGCCAAGCGUCCUCGCCAGCGGCGGAAGCACCUCUACCUUGUCACGGAAGACUGGGAACAGGGAUACAGCAUCCGCAAGGUAGACCUGGAGGAGGAUUACGACGCCAACAUCCACACCUUGGACAAGGAACAAGCAGGCAACAGCCCACGUAAACACUCCGACCGGCGCUUGCCACCGGCGGUCUUCCGCCUGGAGGCUCCGCACCAAGGCGCCGACCACUUCACGGCGGCCUUCGGCACCAAGAUCAUGGCCUUGCACCACACGCCCAGGCGCUACGUCCCCGUCUUCGACGUCCGCACGCGGUGCCUCAGCUUCGGCCCCCGGAUGCGGAGGGACCCGAGCACCCCAAUCUACGUACCCGUCGCGGACAGGCUCUACGGCCUGGAUUUCGACACCUUCGAGAUGCUCCAUCCGCCUCCGCCGCUCGUCGACCCCAACUGCGGCAUGGACGUGCCCAAGUGGCGGUCGUGGCGCCGCCUCCCGCCGCCGCCCUUCAAGCGCGAGCGCGUCACCUCUCACGCCGUGCACCCCGACGGACGAACCAUCUUCGUCAGCAUCGACGGCAAGACCGGCGCCACGUUCAGCUUCGAUACCAUGGCGAGCUCCCCACGUUGGACGCGCAGCGGCAGCUGGAAGCUGCCCUUCAAGGGCCCCGCGCACUAUGACUGUGACUUGGACGCCUGGGUUGGCCUCGCCCGAGACCCGGACAUGCUCGGCCGCCUCUGCUCCUGUGACGUGCCUUCUACUGAUGAUGACGACGGCUGCAGACAGCUCCCGGCCUGGAAGCUCAGCAAGGAGAAGCUCUUCUGUCAGGACCCAGACGAGAAGCACAUCGGCGCCGCCCUUGUUUGCCUGGGCACGGGCUGCAGAAGCAAGUUCUGUGUCGUGCAGUGUCUCUCCCUGGACGACCGUGAGGAGGGCAUGUACAAGGAGUACCUGCCCGAGCGCGAGCGCUACCUGCUUCGACUGACCACGUUCUCGCUGGCGUAUGACAAGAAUGGCGACCUGCGCACCGCCGCGCGCCGCCGCGUUCGAUCCUUUGAACUGCCCAAGUCAGUGGCGGAAAACUCUGCCUUCUUGGUGGAUCCUGUGGCAUUCUGGAUGUAA